UGGGGAAUAUUGCACAAUGGAGGAAACUCUGAUGCAGCGACGCCGCGUGAGUGAAGAAGGUCUUCGGAUCGUAAAACUCUGUCCUUGGUGACGAAGAAAAUGACGGUAGCCAAGGAGGAAGCCCCGGCUAACUACGUGCCAGCAGCCGCGGUAAUACGUAGGUGGCGAGCGUUGUCCGGAAUUACUGGGUGUAAAGGGUGCGUAGGCGGACUGGCAAGUUGGAUGUGAAAUCUCCGCGCUUAACGUGGAGGUUGCAUUCAAAACUGUUGGUCUUGAGUGAGGCAGAGGCAGGCGGAAUUCCCGGUGUAGCGGUGAAAUGCGUAGAGAUCGGGAGGAACACCAGUGGCGAAGGCGGCCUGCUGGGCCUUAACUGACGCUGAGGCACGAAAGCAUGGGUAGCAAACA
rnacentral:rRNA from 1 species